rnacentral:rRNA from 1 species
GAUGAACGCUGGCGGCGUGCCUAAUACAUGCAAGUCGAGCGAACAGACGAGGAGCUUGCUCCUCUGACGUUAGCGGCGGACGGGUGAGUAACACGUGGAUAACCUACCUAUAAGACUGGGAUAACUUCGGGAAACCGGAGCUAAUACCGGAUAAUAUAUUGUACCGCAUGGUUCAAUAGUGAAAGACGGUUUUGCUGUCACUUAUAGAUGGAUCCGCGCCGCAUUAGCUAGUUGGUAAGGUAACGGCUUACCAAGGCGACGAUGCGUAGCCGACCUGAGAGGGUGAUCGGCCACACUGGAACUGAGACACGGUCCAGACUCCUACGGGAGGCAGCAGUAGGGAAUCUUCCGCAAUGGGCGAAAGCUUGACGGAGCAACGCCGCGUGAGUGAUGAAGGUCUUCGGAUCGUAAAACUCUGUUAUUAGGGAAGAACAAAUGUGUAAGUAACUAUGCACGUCUUGACGGUACCUAAUCAGAAAGCCACGGCUAACUACGUG